AUACGUAGGGAGCGAGCGUUGUCCGGAAUUACUGGGCGUAAAGGGCGCGCAGGCGGAUAUUUAAGUCAGCUGUAAAAGGCAUGAGCUCAACUCAUGUAUGCGGUUGAAACUGGGUAUCUAGAGUGCUGGAGAGGUAGGCGGAAUUCCCGGUGUAGCGGUGAAAUGCGUAGAUAUCGGGUAGAACACCAGUGGCGAAGGCGGUAUACUGGCCAGCAACUGACGCUGAGGCGCUAAAGCCAGGGGGGCGAACGGGAUGAGAGGCCCAGUGAGUCCGGGCCGUAAACGAUGAAUGAUAGGUGUGUGUGUCGAGAGGCAGCCGUUCCGGAGUUAACGCGAUAAGCAUUCCGCCUGGGGAGUACGAUCGCAAGAUUGAAACUCAAAGGAAUUGACGAGG
rnacentral:rRNA from 1 species